GGAAAUCUCACCAGGCCCGGACACUGGAAGGAUUGACAGAUUGAUAGCUCUUUCUUGUUAGCAAUAACAGGUCUUUGAUGCCCGGCUUAAUUUGACUCAACGCGGGAAAUCUCACCAGGCCCGGACACUGGAAGGAUUGACAGAUUGAUAGCUCUUUCUUGUUAGCAAUAA
rnacentral:rRNA from 1 species